rnacentral:misc_RNA from 1 species
UCAUUUCAGCUUCCCUCGCCCGCGCAACCGGUCGUACUGCGCGCUGCGUAGCGCUGCCCUCGAUCCUCUCGACAGAGAUCUCGCCAUCUCGCCGCGUGCCGCGCGCUCCGCCGUCGUCUGCUCUCGGCGUUCAAAGGACGAGAAAGAAAAGGAACACGCCCAAGGGAAGGGGUUGCGUCGGCUGCAGUCUGCAGUCAGCUGUGGCCCGAGCCAAGUCCGAGCUACAACAGUGUGUGUGAGGUGCGGCACGCCAGCGGAACGGGACGGGACCGCUCGUAGUGCAAAACAGUGGGCGCCCCAACCCUGCCCCCCAGCCCAGCUAGUGGGCCAGGCACUUGACCUUCAGGGUUUCUUUGAGGCAACAAUCAACCGAGAAUGUCUAUUAAAGAAAAGGCACAACGGCGGUUCUAUCGCGCAGACAGUGUGUAUGACUUCUUGUCUGUAAUGGACAGAGGUCAAGCUGCGAUGGAUGAUAACCGAUGGACAUUCGAAGCAGCUUGGGAAGUUGCCAACAAAGUUGGAGGAAUUUACACUGUCAUCAGAUCCAAGGCCUAUGUCUCCACAGAGGAAAUGGGUGAUCAGUAUUGUCUCUUAGGGCCUUACAAGGAACAGUGCGCCCGCACCGAAGUGGAAGAGCAGGAAUUCCCUGCCGGAGGCCCUUUACAAAUUGCCGUCAGCAGGAUGAGAGAUCAAGGAUACCAGCUCCACACUGGUACUUGGCUAGUUGAUGGAAAUCCUCAGCUCAUUCUUUUUGACAUUGGAUCUGCUGCUUGGAAAUUGGAUGAAUACAAACAGGAACUCUGGGAGAAAACAGGUGUUGGAAUCCCUCAUCUGGAUAUUGAAACCAAUGAUGCUGUUAUUUUAGGAUACAUGGUGGCAGCUUUCAUUGCUGAGUUCCGCAAAGCAGCAGAGGAAUGUAGUGGCCAACAGCCCCGCAUUGUUACCCAUUUCCAUGAAUGGCAAGCUGGUGUAGGGUUGGUCGCUCUCAGAACUAGACGUGUUGAUGUUGCCACUGUUUUCACCACGCAUGCAACUUUAUUGGGAAGAUACCUGUGUGCUGGAAAUAUUGAUUUCUACAACAACCUGUCUCAAUUUAAUGUGGAUGAAGAGGCUGGAAAGCGCCAGAUUUACCACAGAUAUUGCUUAGAGCGUUGUGCGACCCACCUUUCUCAUACUUUCACUACUGUAUCUGAAAUUACUGGCUAUGAAGCUGAACAUUUACUGAAACGGAAGGCUGAUUAUAUUACGCCAAACGGCUUGAAUGUGAAAAAGUUUUCUGCACUCCACGAAUUCCAGAAUUUACAUGCUCUUUCAAAAGACAAAAUUCAUGAGUUUGUACGAGGACACUUUUAUGGACAUUAUGACUUCAAUUUGGAUAAGACCCUCUAUUUCUUCAUUGCUGGUCGAUAUGAGUUUGGAAAUAAGGGAGCAGAUAUAUUUAUUGAAGCCUUAGCAAGAUUGAAUCACUAUCUGAAGGCGGCGAACUCAGACACUACAGUUGUUGCUUUUCUCAUCUUCCCUGCUAAGACCAACAACUUCAAUGUUGAGAGUUUACGUGGUCAUGCAGUUACAAAGAGUUUGAGGGACACUAUCCAUGAUGUUCAGCAAGGCAUUGGCAAGAAAUUGUAUGAAAUUUGUCUCAGUGGGAGAAUGCCGGAUGCAGCUGAGCUUCUUGAGAAAGAGGAUAAAGUGAAACUGAAGCGCUGCAUUUAUGGACUUCAGAGGCAUGGUCUUCCUCCUGUCACUACUCACAAUAUUGUUGAUGACUGGAACGAUCCUGUCCUAAAUGCUGUGAGAAGAUGCAACCUCUUCAAUACAGUUCAUGACCGUGUGAAGGUGAUUUUCCACCCAGAAUUCUUGUCGUCCACAAACCCUCUAUUCGGUUUAGAUUAUGAAGAGUUUGUGCGAGGUUGCCACUUGGGAGUCUUCCCUAGCUACUAUGAACCCUGGGGCUACACUCCUGCAGAAUGCACAGUAAUGGGUAUUCCCUCAAUCACCACUAAUUUAUCAGGCUUUGGCUGCUUCAUGCAAGAACAUAUUGCAGAUCCUCAGAGCUAUGGAAUUUAUAUUGUUGAUAGGCGUUAUAUUGGUCUUGAGAAUUCUGUGCAACAGUUGGCACAGUUUAUGUAUGACUUCUCCCGCCUUAACCGAAGACAGAGAAUCAUUCAGAGAAAUCGUACUGAGCGUUUAAGUGACCUUCUUGAUUGGCGAAACUUGGGCAUUUAUUACCGUCAAUCUCGCAUUAGUGCCCUUUGCAAAGUUUACCCAGAACUAGCUAACACUUUGGAAAUGAGUGGCAAUGUGAACAAUUUCAACUUCCCUCGCCCAAUUUCUGAACCUCCCUCUCCAUCAUCCUCCCGGCCGACAACACCUCGAGGUUCAAUUCAUGGAAGUGAUGACGAGGAUGAAGUUGAUGAAGAAAAAGAGAUUGAAGAACUUGGAGGUACAUUAAAAAACACCAAGAUAGAAGAUCGACAAUAGUAGGUCAGCAGCAGAAUUAUUUCAUAGUUAGUUGUUCACUAGCAAAUGCCAAGCUUGCUGAAUUGAAGAAUGUAGUUUAGAUUUGCCCUGGUCAUCUUGGAAAGUUCAUCAGCAUAGCUUGCUGCCAUGAUGACACCCUAUGAAGUUCUUUUUUUAAAUAGAGGCUGGUUCCAUCAAUAUAUUCAUCUUAUGAUUAUUGUGUUCAUAUCUUAAGAAUUUAAAACUAAUGUGCCAUCGAAUGUGACUGUCAAUUUUUUCUAUUGAAGUUGCUAUAAGCUUACAUUUAAUGAAAUGUAAUGUGAUCUAAAUGUAUAAACUUUUAGAAUCUGUUCUUUGGAAGUGAAUUUCUGGAACCGUGUUUGAGCUAACAAAUUUUAACUUGAUUAGCUUAGGCUGCAUUCAGCAAUUCGGAAUUGUUAUUUUUUGACUUAGAACUACUGUAAAGCUCAAGUUGUUUUAAAUUUGAGCCUGGAAUGGUUAAAGGAUAGUGCUACACAUGCUUGCCUUUUUUUUUCUUUUUUUAAAAUUGUUUUAGAAAGUGAAGUAUUUUUGUACCAAUCUGCAUCUUUUAAUGAUUUGCUGAUGUAUUUUGAUAGUCUAUUUCUUGUUUUAUAAUUUUUUAGAAAGAUUUACUGCCAUAGUAUGAAAUAGGUUCGAAACUCAUCUUUUUUGUGCCCUGCCUUUCUGUCUCUAAAUAUUUGGUUGUGAAUUGGAAAUUGAGUAUCCUAUUCCUUUUUAAGAACUAUAUGAAAUCUUCCUCAUGAAUGAAACAUGCUAAUUCUCUUAGAAGAUAGAAAACUAUUAGGAUAAUUUGUCUUGGCUGAUGCUCGUUGAGGCUUUGACCGCUGAAGUCGCUACAACAUGAACUUAUUUUAGAUGUGAUUAUUAGUUGUGCCAUAUUGUGCUGAUUUUACAAUUUUCUUGUUGGUAUUUUGAGACUUAUUGUAUUGUUAUUGCUAUUAAAGUUUAUUUGUCUAGACCAAUAAAGCCAAUAAAACCAUUCUAUCCUUAGUUAAUCUGAAUCAUAUUGUUUAAUUAUUGAUGCAUUUGGUAGGAUAGAGUAAGCCUACUGAAAUCAAACAAUGUGUACUUAAUGCCAUGAGAUCAAUGGCAAGCUACAUAACCCGGUGAUAAGAUAGACGGUUCCGUCUUAGCAGUAAACUUCGUGCCAUAAGAUAGUUUUUGCUGGAAAAUGUGUGCCAAUAAAAGUCAAAUUUAUUCAAAA